GUUUCUACAUCAAAAGAAAUUCUAAGGAUCCAGUUCCUUUAUGCCACCUGUCUUCUGAUCUCCCUCAAAAAGCAGCUACCUGAGGACUCCAGGAUGACAGUAAACUGAAUGCCACUCCUCGCUGAGCGUGAGCCCACCUCCCGGAUCUCCUCUUCUCACAUGGCCCAAUACUCACAGGAAGUAGUCUUGAGCUGACACCCCUUUAUCUAAGGAGUCUGGGAUUUGAUUGAAACUGAGACCCUAGUCCUCUGACACCCCUAUGUCGAAGAAUUGUGGGAUGUUUGGAAGCAUCAACCUCAGCCCCUGGCAUUCUUUCUUCGGGUACCAAUGGAGCACCAAAGGAACAGAAAGAUCUAUCUCAAGCCCCAUCCCCUCGGGAAUUGACUUAGUCUGGACUACACCUCCGGAAAGCCCGACAAGCACUGACCCUUCUCCAGAGAUGGUCAGGACCACUCCCACAGGCCACAGGCUGCUGUUCAGAAAAAGAACACAUGAUUUUGGGUUUUGUGUGGGCCCUUCCUCUCUUUUUUCCCACUAUGCUUUUCUGGCCAUCUGGGAGUGCUACAGUAAACAUGGGAGUAGAUUCAGUCUAA